AUCCUCCUGCCUCAGCCUUCCAAGUGGUGGGAUUACAGGCCUGUGCCACCAUGCCCAGCUCUAAAUUUUUAAAGUUGGAUGAAGGUCUCGACUUGAGACAUGCGUUAAAAUUACCUUAGGGUGCUUUUAAAAAUGAUAAACAGCUAAAUCCCCAGCCCCUCAUCAAUAGUUUUCAAGUUCCUAUAUUUCUGACUUACUACUGAAGUAGGGAGCCAUUUAUCAGGUGAGACAGAAGUUUCCUUUGGUGAGGAGGAAGACGUUAGGUGGGUCAUGGUGGAAAGCACACGGCUUUCAGAGCAUUGUUCUAGUGUCCCUGGGUUACCUUCUGGUAAGGAAGUUAAUGAAAGGACGCCUGUAGUUCCUAAGCUUAACUGUAACAGCUGAUAAGGAGAGAGUCCUUAGGCAUUCCAAAGUAAAAAGGAUGUAGAGAGACAUUGAUAAGGUUAGAAGGUGAAAAGGCAAAAUCCCUUGUUCUCUGAGGUAGGACGCAGUGUAUUAAAGAGUUAGCCAAGCUCAGUUUACCAGUUGCUUUUUCAGACUGCCCGUAAAGCUUGGUAUAAGCAUGCAUACGUUUUAUAAGUGGACCGGUGUGAUAGCUAGUGACGGUGAUGGUAUUAAAAUGUGCUCAGUGUGAUUGAAUUAGUUUCAAUUUUAUUUUUAAUUCUUUAGCUAUAUGUACCUACUUUGAGUAGCGUAGUACAAAUAAUAGAAAUUUCUAGGCAAGUGCUUAUACGUGGUUAUACCUCAUAACUUACAUGAACAAAUGUGACAUUGAAGCUGUUGCAUGUCCUUUGUUCACUGUAGUUUCUUAGCCUCUAGCACCUAGAUCCUGGCGGUGAGGGAUUUGCAGGAAUGUCCAUGUUGCCCACACCUUACUGCCUCUUGUGAGAUAAACUUCCGAAGGAGGGAUCUUGGCACUCGGCUCAGGCUCAAAGGUUAUCCUCAAAUGAUGCUAUGCAAACAUUUAAAAUCAUAGGUUCUUAAUAUUUACUGUGAUCAUGUUAGGUAUAGAAGUAAUUACUAUGUUUCAAAGGAUUUGAAAGAGAUCAGGUGUUUCCAAGUCCUCAUGGUAGAGCCAAAAUUUCAACCUGUGUUUUAACUUAGCCAUGGAUUUUGAAUCUUAGAGCAGGAAACUAAGUUCAGAAGUAUUGAGCCUGGGAGAGCGACUGCAUCUCAGCACCUUCUCUCCAAAAUGAGAAGAAACCUUCCCACAGUAUGGAGCUUGGUUGCCCUUCCAAAGUGCGAAGACACAGGCUCUCCUACCCAUGUAACUUAGCUCUUUCUGGGGCACCCAGAUCGCCUAUUUAAAACCAUUUCUUCUGGCUCAGACAAUGUUCUUGGCAAAUAUCUUGCCAAAAAUCACUGUUACGUUCACAAAGUUCUCACCCUGUUCCUUCACACUUGCAUGCUGGCCUAAUGAGCAACCUGUGGUGUCUUUCAAGAGCUCAUAGAAUAUGUGUCUUUCCCCAAGGGACUUUUAAUGAGCACGGAGUUCCAGACCCACAAAAAUAAACCAGUGUAUUUGGAGCAUAAGCCUUACUCCUCAAGUUGGCAGACCCAGGAAUCAAGUUUAAUGGCUCAUCCAUUUGCAGCUUAUUCAUAGGCUAAUAGCAUUACUAGUUCCAUGCAAGCUUACGAAUCUUCCUAAAGGGCUAGGGAUAUAAUUCAAUGGCACAAGCGCCUGCCUGGCAAGUGCAAGGUCCUGAGUUCAAUUCCUGGUGCCAAAAAAAAAAAAGCUUCUUCACGACCAUGGUCCUGUCUGUUCCAAAUAGGUGCAAUAUAGUGUGGGAUACUUGCUCUACACGCAUAGAUGUUUGAGCCCUCUUAGCUCUCCUUGAGGAAAUUAGAGUGAGAGCUUUUAGUGGGGCUAGGUAGUCCACUAGAUAACCAGCUGGGACCAGCUGCCAGUUAGACUUACCCAGGUGUACAAUAUUUGGCUUUCCUAUUUUGGAACUUUCUGGGGUGUUUAUUGCUAAGCCAAACAGUACCCUUUCCUAAAACUUUAUAUUCUUUCCACAAAAGUUGCUUCUCUAGCACCAGCUAAGUCAUACCUAACAGUUUCAGAAGUAGCCAUUGGGGUCAGGUUGCCAAGAAGUUACCUGCUUGUGUACCGCGGUGGUCUCUGUCCUUGUCCCUGGGUGUCCUGGACUGCUGUUAAGCUGUUUUCCUUGUAGGGGUAUCCCAGCUCUGCUCUAAGCACCAGAAAGUAUCUGGUAAAAUCUAGUCACCGGAGAAGUCUACCAGUGUCCUUACUAUUAUGUGCCAUCUCUGGAGACAGCCUUGUGUUACGGUUCAUUCCCUCACUUGGGAAUACAGUUUCCAGCAAUGCGAUUGCCCUAUGACCCCUACAUAGCAUGUGGUAGGGCACAUGGCAGCAGGACGGUGAAGCUUAUGCUGCUUUGUCCUAAGCACCCUCCUGAGCGCAGAGAUCUUGCCUACAAAGUAUUAACCCUGCGACGGAACCUCACUUCUGAGUCAGCAAGCACUCAGCGGCCCUUUUCCCUCCAUCUCUCCAGUCUAGAAACAUCAUCUUGGUGUCAUGAUAGCCUUUACAGGAACUUUUCAUACUCACUCCUUUCUAAAUUCAGUUUUUAUUUUUGCCCCUCUUUUCAGUUUUGGGGGGAGUGUUAUUUGUAAUUCCAUAGCUCCCCUCCUCCCCCUGCAGCUUUAUGGCAAUUCUCAAUUUUCUUAAGGAAUACUUGCACUAAACAGCUUCAGAAUGCUCUGGGCACAAUUUACACGCACUUGUCUUUUCUCCUAAUGCACCAGAAAGCUAAACUUAAUGCCCACUUUUUGAGGGGCAGGCUGCUGGAAAUUAACAGGGGACCUUGUGCUUGCCAGGUAGGGGCUGUGCCGCUGAGCUGUAUUCCGAGUCCUUAAUGCCUGCUUUGAACAAUGAGCGUACUGUAUCUAGCUGGUACAGAUGCAUGUUUAUGAUUGCUGUGAUCUGAGGUAAAGAUGGCACAUUUUACAUGUACUGUUACGGUGUCUCCUGGAUUACCUGUUGCAUCAUUUUAUUUCUGUCCAUGUUCACCUUUGGUCCCCAUCAGUUACCCUCAUCUUGCUCUGGCAUACUGCAGUGGUCUUAUCUGCCCACAUGUACUCAGAUCUCUGUAAUCAUUUGUUCAUACCACAGCCAUAUUGAUCUUUCCAAAGUACAUAUAUCCUGGUAGUUUUUGGCUUAAAACCAUUCUGGCUUCAUUUGCUUUUAGAAGAUAAUGAGACAUCCUAAUUCUGAAAGGCCAAAGGCGGUCUGCCCCUUGCCCAUGUGUCUUCCCUUACCCUGUGCUCCCUCGCUUUCCCUGUUACCACAUUGGACCUCUCUCUGUCCCUCUUCACUCUCAUGCACUCUCCCACCUUUCCCCAUUUAGUUACUAGUUCUAUUCAUCCUAAAGAUUUUAACAUAUGUGGCACUCAUACGAGGAGCCUCCCAUUUUUAAAAAUUACAGCUCUACUUUGUGUGAUUGGUUAUUGUGUUUGUAUUAUAGUUCAGCAGGGACCCCGUCUCUUAGUGCUCGUUAAGGUAUCCCCAGUACUCCCUGUGUCUGGAGAUAGUACAUGUUGGGUGGGUGUGUGGGACGGAGGAGGAGCAAACUGGGGAGGCUGGCCCUGGGCAAGGUGGCCUUGGAAAUGGAAAGCAAGGCCGAGGAAUUAACCUGUGCACCCCUGUGAGCUGGUGCAGAGCACUGUCGCUUCUCAGCUAUGUCACGAGGUUAAUUCUUCAGCCUUGCUUUCUAACCUAGGGCCUGUACAUCUCCAGCCCUUUAUAUUAUUUUCGAGACCACAUUUCAUGCUACAGGCUGACCGGGAAAUCAGAGUGUAGCCCAAGGUGGCCUUGCUGUUAAUCCUUCUGCCUCAUCCCCAGCACUGGGAUUACAGAUGUGCGUCAACCACAUCUACUAUCUCAACCCUUUUUGAGACAGAGUCUUGCUAACUUACCCAAGUUGCCCUCAAGCUUAUGAUCCUUCUGCUCGUCCUCAGCUUUCUCAGGAGCUAGGAUGACAGCUGUGUACCAUAUAUAUAUCUUGGGUAUCUAUAGCUUGAAGAUUUACCAAGAAAAGUGAAUAUGCCCGUUGAAACACUUCUCUGAUAAACAGAACAUGCAAACCUCCCUCAUGCCUCUGUAUUACUUCCGCUACAUUGCCCCUCUGCUGUCACCAUGGGCAGGUCUUGCACAUAUUUGAGCAACAUGUAAAUAGAAGAGUAUUGAUUGCACUGUUAAUGUUUGGGCUAACCCUGAGAGCAGAGCUUGA